UGAGGCAGGAGAAUCGCUUGAACCCAGGAGGUGGAGGUUGCAGUGAGCCGAGAUUGCGCCACUGCACUCCAGCCUGGGUGACAGCGGGACUCCGUCUCAAAAAAAAAAAAA
rnacentral:miRNA from 1 species